rnacentral:rRNA from 1 species
GACGAACGCUGGCGGCGUGCUUAACGCAUGCAAGUCGAACGAGGUCCAUGCAGUGGCAACACUGCGGAAGACCGAGUGGCGAACGGGUGAGUAACACGUGAGGAACCCACCCCGGAGACCGGGAUAAGCCCCCGAAAGGGGGUCUAAUACCGGAUGCCCUCACCGGAUCGCAUGGUCCGAUGAGGAAAUGGAUUCCGCUCCGGGACGGCCUCGCGGCCUAUCAGCUUGUUGGUGGGGUAACGGCCCACCAAGGCAUAGACGGGUAGCUGGUCUGAGAGGACGGUCAGCCACACUGGGACUGAGACACGGCCCAGACUCCUACGGGAGGCAGCAGCGGGGAAUAUUGCGCAAUGGGCGAAAGCCUGACGCAGCAACGCCGCGUGAGGGAUGAAGGCUCUCGGGUUGUAAACCUCUUUCAGCAGGGACGAAAACAGACGGUACCUGCAGAAGAAGCCCCGGCCAACUACGUGCCAGCCGCCGCCGUAACAC